rnacentral:rRNA from 1 species
UACGUAGGGUGCGAGCGUUGUCCGGAAUUAUUGGGCGUAAAGGGCUCGUAGGCGGUUUGUCGCGUCGGGAGUGAAAACCAGGUGCUUAACACCUGGCUUGCUUUCGAUACGGGCAGACUAGAGGUAUGCAGGGGAGAACGGAAUUCCUGGUGUAGCGGUGAAAUGCGCAGAUAUCAGGAGGAACACCGGUGGCGAAGGCGGUUCUCUGGGCAUGACCUGACGCUGAGGAGCGAAAGCCAGGGGAGCAAACGGG